rnacentral:rRNA from 1 species
CUUGGUCAUUUAGAGGAAGUAAAAGUCGUAACAAGGUUUCCGUAGGUGAACCUGCGGAAGGAUCAUUGUCUACACCGCGCUCGUUCGCGGUCGGGGGGGCUUUCCCUUCGGGGGCGCCCUGUCUGAACCCUCUGUCAUUGUCGCACCUCGCGUUUCCUCGGCGGGCUCGCCCGCCAACGAGGACCCCAAACCAAACCCAUUGCAGUGUCUGCAGUAAACGUCUCACAAACAAUAAAUCAAAACUUUCAACAACGGAUCUCUUGGUUCUGGCAUCGAUGAAGAACGCAGCGAAAUGCGAUAAGUAGUGUGAAUUGCAGAAUUCAGUGAAUCAUCGAAUCUUUGAACGCACAUUGCGCCCUUUGGUAUUCCUUAGGGCAUGCCUGUUCGAGCGUCAUCUAACCCCUCAAGCACCGCUUGAUGUUGGGCGCCUGUCCCGCCUCCGCGCGCGGACUCGCCUCGAAGACAUUGGCGGCCUGUGUAUUGGCUACGAGCGCAGCAGACCCGCGCCUCGUCCCCUCUCGCGCAGGCGCCCAGCAAGCGCACUCCCCAUUUUUGACCUCGGAUCAGGUAGGGAUACCCGCUGAACUUAAGCAUAUCAAUAAGCGGAGGA